AUUGACCGGUGAAGACCAAGAGCACUUCCCCACGGGGCUGGAAAGGUCAUUGGCAGUUUAUUUAUUCAUUCACCCAUUUAGUCAUUCAUUCAAGAUCAUGGCUCUGAUCAAGCGCUGGUGACCUGGAGGCUGGAAGAUACAGGAGGCCCGGUGUCUGCCGUGGCGGCACUCUCGUUCUUCACAAGCCCAGCAUGGGCUGUGCCUUUCGAGGACCGUGAAGCGCAAGCAUCGUCUUCCUUAACCCUCCCCACGACCCUGAGAAGAAGCUCUUGUUCUCGUCCCCCAUCACCCAGACAAGGCUUCGAGGCUGAAAGAGGUUAGGUAACUUCCCCUAACAGUGUUAGAAAACGCUUCUGCCCUGGGAUCCUGGCUCCCCUGGGGUGGCCUGCCUGAGUGGAGCAGCUCAGGAAGAAUAAAAGACACUGCACGUGCCUGUCGUUGCGAGGCCAAGGUGUAGCCAUCGGAGGAAACUCACAGCAGCCAGGAAAGGCGAGGAGGGAAGUGAACACAUCACCCAGGAGCCCGUGGGCCGGAGACCGCCACUGCUGACAAGCGCACACCUUUCCCCGUGUACCUUUUCUUGAUGCAGCAAGGGAAAGCGGAAGUCAUUCACUCAUUCAUUCAUUCUGCUGGGCACCAGGGACUGUUCUAGACUCAGGGAAUGUGUAGUAUCAAGUCUCUUCUCUGGGACAAAUUUGAAUUCAACUCAGCCUCCCGGUGGCCAGGUGACUCUGGGAGGUGACUUCGUGUCUCUGGACCUGUGGUAAAGUCUGUAAAGUCAGAAUCAGGAGGCCCAACUCACUGCAUCGCCAGCAGCGUGGGAGGUGAUGCCUGGCCCGUGCCUCGUGGAUGUGCACCCAGGGUCACAAUGGCGACCCUCCCCAGGCUGGGCCUCGGUCUUGGUGCCCACAGUGGAGCUGGUCUGGCCCCAGCAGGCAGCCUGCCUCUGUGCCUUUGGGUUCCGGAGUCUCUGUUAGAUUUUGAAUCCUGGGCUGCCCCUUGGACAAUGUCUACCCUUGUCCCUCAUUUUAUGUCUUUGGGUCACAAGAGCCAGUCCACACCUGUUCACUUUCCACGGCAGGACCCCAUGAAGUCAGAGAUUUGAAUCCUGGCCUUGGAUCCUAGAGACGGUGACCCUGGCUUUCUCAUCACCCUCUCUGAGUCUUCCUCUCCUCAGACCUAAAAUAAGGAGAAUGAUAAUGACCUCGCGGGCCACUGUGAAGAGUGAGUGAAAUAAAGCCUGCAAAACAGUUAAAUUAGCACGUGGGAGACACCUGAGAAAGGCUGGAGAUUUUAUUAUCUUAAUUCCACUUGGGAGCAAAACGAAAGCUAUCAAAGCUCUGCCUGGGAGGCCUCUUACAAGUGUUAGGCUAGGGAGCAUGCGUUUAGUGGGUCUCUCGGCUUUACGUUAUCAUCACCUCCAGUCAGAGCAGCGAUGGCUGUGUCUGGGCUGUGAUUAGUACCAUUUUCAAGGUCGCUGGUCCCGUCUCCAUCCUGAAGACAUGCUUCCUGUGACCAGCAUCCCAGCAUCUCCCUCUCGCCCUGGCUACCAUAGGCCACACCAGAGGCCGGCACCGAAGUCCCCUCCCAGGGCCCCUCCCCAAAGUUGGAGGAGUCUGUGGUCCCUCCCAAGGGCCCUCAGAACUACCCCCUCCUGAUAAGUGGUCACUUCCCGUCGCCCAGGACAGACCUGGUGAGGGGUGGGGUCGGGCACAGCCUCUGCUGGGCCCACAGGCCUCUGCCUACGGAGAUAUGGUUGGGGCUCCCCGACAUCAAGUUCAAGGCGGUGAAUAAGAUCAAACCGCAGAGGACAAACAUUAUUCCCAGAUUAAUUCCUUAAAUCCUCCCGUUUCCGUCAAGGAGCAGGUCUCAGUUCGGUGUCAGCAUUACCACUUCUCUGACAAGGAAAAAGCAGCCUCUGUGCUCAGAACCUUCCCGGGCAGCUGUGUUCAGCUUGAAUUUAAUACCUCGUUUGCUUUUGAUUGUGUUUAUUUUUUACUGAUGAUUUCAGUUUAUGACCUGCAAAAUGGCUUCUCAACUAAGAACGCUGAUGCAACGUUGUCCUUUAAUUUUUAUGUUUCAGUUUAUAUAAGGGAGUCCAUUAAAUUUUUUUUUAAUGUGAAGAAAUAAAUCUUACAAAAUGUGCUUGGAUUAUGGCAAAAACCAUAAAUGUAAGAUGCCAAAGACUACCAUUUGGGAAACAUUAUUCAGACACAAACAGGAAUCCAGGCGGGGAGUUAUGAGGACACCAGGCAACUAGGAUGCGAAGGAGCUGGGACCACCUGGGGAGUCACAUU